rnacentral:rRNA from 1 species
CGCCUUUCUCCGCUGAACUUAAGCUAUAUCAAUAAGCGGAGGAAAAGAAAGUACCAAGGAUUCCCCUAGUAACUGCGAGUGAAGCGGGAAAAGCUCAAAAUUUGAAAUGUGGCGGCUCUGCCGUCCGAGUUGUAUUUUGGAGAAGCGUCCUUCCGUGCCGGACCGAGUACAAGUCCCUUGGAACAGGGCGUCGUAGAGGGUGAGAAUCCCGUCUAUGACACGGAUACCCCGGUGCUAUGUGAUGCGCUCUCGAAGAGUCGAGUUGUUUGGGAAUGCAGCUCAAAAUGGGUGGUAAAUUGCAUCUAAAGCUAAAUAUUGGCGAGAGACCGAUAGCGAACAAGUACCGAGAGGGAAAGAUGAAAAGCACUUUGGAAAGAGAGUAAAACAGUACGUGAAAUUGUUGAAAGGGAAACGCUUGAAGUCAGUCGCGUCUGCCGGAACUCAGCCUUGCUCAUGCUUGGUGCACUUUCCGGUCUGACGGGCCAGCAUCGGUUUUGGGCGGCGGACACUGGCGAGGGGAAGGUGGCAGCUCCGGCUGUGUUAUAGCCCCCCGUCGCAAACGUCGUCUGGGACCGAGGAAUCCGGCGCAAGCCUGGGAUGCUGGCGUAAUGGCUUUAAGCGACCCGUCUUGAGACACGG